UACGGAGGGGGCUAGCGUUGUUCGGAAUUACUGGGCGUAAAGCGCACGUAGGCGGCUUUGCAAGUUAGAGGUGAAAGCCCGGGGCUCAACUCCGGAAGUUGCCUUUAAAACUGCAUCGCUAGAAUUGUGGAGAGGUAAGUGGAAUUCCGAGUGUAGAGGUGAAAUUCGUAGAUAUUCGGAAGAACACCAGUGGCGAAGGCGACUUACUGGACACAUAUUGACGCUGAGGUGCGAAAGCGUGGGGAUCAAACAGG
rnacentral:rRNA from 1 species